CAGUCGCCGCGGGAAUACGUAGGUGGCAAGCGUUGUCCGGAAUUAUUGGGCGUAAAGGGCUCGCAGGCGGCUUCUUAAGUCUGAUGUGAAAGCCCCCGGCUCAACCGGGGAGGGUCAUUGGAAACUGGGAAACUUGAGUGCAGAAGAGGAGAGUGGAAUUCCACGUGUAGCGGUGAAAUGCGUAGAGAUGUGGAGGAACACCAGUGGCGAAGGCGACUCUCUGGUCUGUAACUGACGCUGAGGAGCGAAAGCGUGGGGAGCGAACAGGAUUAGAUACCCCCGUAGUCCCUGUCUCUUAUAC
rnacentral:rRNA from 1 species